rnacentral:rRNA from 2 species
ACGGGUGAGUAACACGUGGGAACGUGCCCUUUGGUCCGGAACAACCCAGGGAAACUUGGGCUAAUACCGGAUAAGCCCUUACGGGGAAAGAUUUAUCGCCAAAGGAUCGGCCCGCGUCUGAUUAGCUAGUUGGUGAGGUAACGGCUCACCAAGGCUACGAUCAGUAGCUGGUCUGAGAGGAUGAUCAGCCACACUGGGACUGAGACACGGCCCAGACUCCAACGGGAGGCAGCAGUUAGGAAUCUUGGACAAUGGGCGCAAGCCUGAUCCAGCCAUGCCGCGUGAGUGAUGAAGGCCUUGGGGUUGUAAAGCUCUUUCAGCGGGGAAGAUAAUGACGGUACCCGCAGAAGAAGCCCCGGCUAACUUCGUGCCAGCAGCCGCGGUAAUACGAAGGGGGCUAGCGUUGCUCGGAAUCACUGGGCGUAAAGCGCACGUAGGCGGCUUUUUAAGUCAGGGGUGAAAUCCUGGAGCUCAACUCCAGAACUGCCUUUGAUACUGGGAAGCUUGAGUCCGGGAGAGGUGAGUGGAACUCCGAGUGUAGAGGUGAAAUUCGUAGA